rnacentral:rRNA from 1 species
UACGUAGGAGACGAGCGUUGUCCGGAGUUACUGGGCGUAAAGGGUGCGCAGGUGGCGGCGCGCGUGGGGGGUGAAAUCCCUCGGCUUAACCGGGGAACUGCGUCCGAUACUGGAUGGCUUGAGUUUGGGAGAGGGAUGCGGAAUUCCAGGUGUAGCGGUGAAAUGCGUAGAUAUCUGGAGGAACACCGGUGGCGAAGGCGACAUCCUGGACCGGUAUUGACGCUGAGGCGCGAAAGCCAGGGGAGCAAACGGG